UAAAAUAUUAAUAAAUUGUUUCUAAUUCUUUUACAAUUGCUUUCAUGCUGUUUUAGGGCUUAAUUUUAAUUACAAUUUAAUUAAAAGACUUCGUAAUAUUAAUAAACCAGCAUUUUAAAUUAUUUUAUAAUUAUUAUGCAUGCUGUCUAUAUGAUCACAUGUUAGUUGGAACAUUAUUUAAUUAAAAGACUACAUGAAUCAUUUGUUUAAAAUGCAUUUUUUAAUUAUUUUCCAAUUAUAGUUUCUUAUUUUUUUUUAGAUAGAUAGAUAGAUAGAUAGAUAAAGACUGUAGAAAUACAUAUAUACAUACAAUAGAUAGAUAGUGAAUUAAAUCAAUCACCUACAAUUCACCAUUAGGAUACAAUGGAAGUUUUGAUCUCAAAGUUUUAUGUUCAAAUAAUUCCAGAGAGUAUUAAAGCAAUUCAAUCAAGACACAUAUUUAUUAAAUAUCUUUAUAGUAUGGAUAUUAGGAAAUGUGACCUACCUCGUGUGAUGUGUGGACAUUAGAUAAAUCAGGUUAGGUUAGACUAAACUGCAGAGACCCACAUUACAGCAGUGGCCUGUCAGGAUAAACCGGUUUAGCACACGAAACAUGGACUCCCGUGUAUCUAUACCUACUGUACUUGUAUCUCUUUAUUAAAUAGUAAAAAUAAACAUUCGUCUUACAAAUCGUUCAUUCUUCUGUAAUAAUCCUCACUUUAUAACAAACUGUAGCCACACGUUGGUGUUGCGAUGUUUCUUUUCCGCAUUGGGCGUGUCUUACAUGUAAACGUCACUGUAAGGGGCGGGACCUUUUCCUUGCGUCUCAAAUGCGUGACGUCGCUGCGCGUGUCAGUCGCCGCUGGUGUGGUGGGAGUUUUGUCCUUCACUCACUCAGGAAUUUUCAUGGCUGAAGAAACAAACCAUAACUCAUAAAAUAUCGAUCUAAUGGCAGCGAUAUAACACAGUAAAUACAGCGAAACGUAUCUUGUUAAAGUUUACACUCAUGGCGAAUGUCAAACAGCAGCUUUUAUCCAGAAAUAAAGAAGUUUCGACCGUUAACGGUUCUGAGGGGGAAAAAGCUGGAAGACCGAACCGCCAGAAGGAAAAGGAGCAGGCCUGUCCAGCAGACAGUGUGUAUUAUUAGCUUGUCUUCAGCAUGUCCUGACCCAUCUCAUCACAUGCUGUCAUCAGAGCAUAUGGAUUCACGGCAGCGUCAGAGGAAGGACGUGUAAUUACGCAUCUCUGCUUAUUCAUGAAAUUUUUAAUUUUUGUGAUGAAGUCCAGGCGUGUCAUAUUUGGAAAAUGUUCUUACUCUAUUGUUGCUCAGCAUUUGCUUUGUCUUUCAAAUGAGGAAAGUACAAGCAAUUAGUCAAAUCUCAAGUUGUCAACCUAAGGUGUUGGAAAUAUGACAAGCAUAUGAAUGUAUGAUGAAUGUAAAAUGCUCUAUCUUUUGAUGUCAUGCAUAAACAAAACAUCUGACAUAAAGCAAGCUUAAUUAUGGUAUUGUGCAUUAUGAUAUAUACAGUUGCAUACAUGGCUCUGAAAGGGUAUGUUUUUGUAAAGAAAUAGUUCACCACAAAAUGAAAAUUUCCUGAAAAUGUGCUCACCCUUAGGCCAUCCAAUAUGUUGUAGAUGAGUUUGUUUCUUCAUCAGAUUUGGAGAAAUGUAGCAUUGCAUAAGUGUCUCAGCAAUGGAUGCUCUGCAGUGAAUUGGUGCCGUCAGAAUGAGAGUUCAAACAUCUGAUAAAAACAUCACAAUAAUCCACACCACUACAGUCCAUCGGUUAACAUCUUGUAAAUUAAAGAGCUAGGCCUACAUGUUUGUAAGAAACCAGUCUAUUAUGAAUAUGUUUUUAACUUCAAACCAUCUCUUCUGGCCAAAACAUGAGUCCAAAACCCAUAAUUAUGUAUCCUCCAGUGGAAAAGUCCACUCCCUGUUGUCCUCUCAGAACUGUGCAAGUGUGCAUAUUUCUCUCCACAGACAAGAAUAUUAUGAAUAGAGGACUCUUAAAGAAAUUUAAAACUUUUUGACAUUUUCUGAAGAUCAGGUUUGCUAUUGAAAUGUCAAGAUGUGUUCGAAUUGGCAUCAGGGCUUGCACUCAUGAAACAGGGCUCCAAACUGCGACUAAAACAGUCGCAUUUGCGACCAUAAAUAAUAAUUUGCGAGUGACGUUUUUGCUGAGGUCGCCACUGGCGACUACCCGCCGAAAGCUCCUCAGGAUUGCUAAAAAAG
ensembl:lncRNA